UACAGAGGGGGCAAGCGUUGUUCGGAAUUACUGGGCGUAAAGGGCGCGUAGGCGGCCUGUUAAGUCGAACGUGAAAUCCCCGGGCUCAACCCGGGAACUGCGUCCGAUACUGGCAGGCUUGAAUCCGGGAGAGGGAUGCGGAAUUCCAGGUGUAGCGGUGAAAUGCGUAGAUAUCUGGAGGAACACCGGUGGCGAAGGCGGCAUCCUGGACCGGCAUUGACGCUGAGGCGCGGAAAGCCAGGG
rnacentral:rRNA from 1 species